UAGGUUUAAUUUACACAUUGUGUGUAGAGCUAGUCCUUUGCUUCAUCCAUUAAGCUUUUUUAUGUCUGCCCAUCCCUGUAUUCUACGCAGUGACACAUCUGAGAUGGAGGCCUUGAAAAUAUGCAAAUCAGGUAUGAGGAGGCCCCUCCCCCCUAUGGAGAGACUGCUAGUCUAAUUAAAGCUUGCUUGGGCAUUAAAGGCACAGUUACCCUUUGUUGUAUUAAAGGCAUAGCGGAUUUCCUUCAUCAUGUUAAAGGCACAUUUUUUUCUUUGUUAUGUUAAAGCUACAGUAAUCUUUGAUAGUACUAAAAUACAUCGUGGUUAUUCAUUUAUCAUCCCAUGUACUGUACAUGAUGAUGAAUAUAUGCAAGUAUGGGUAGGCUAGGCUAGCGUAGAUCUUUCAUCCAAUUCAUGUAAGAUGUAUAAUCACUCAACAAGCAUUGUGAUUUUAUUUUUGUUUGUGCAAACAAUUAAGCAUACAUUUUUUGGAAUACAAAUAAAUGUUUCUCCAAAUGAAUGCUAUUUCCCUACAUGAUUUAGUGGGGUAUUAUCCCUUAAUCAAAAUCUCAUAGAAACAUAAUAUACCAUAUGAUGUCAGGUGGAAUGUGUCUAUAGGCCUGUUUUUUGUAAUUAAAUGAAAUCAUAAUUUAACAAUUGACAUUAUAUUUACAAUAUAGGAGGCAUUAGGCUGUAUGUAUUAUAAGUCACUCUCUCUUUGUAUCUGGUGUGGUUUUGUUUGGCUGCCAUAAAGGUUUCAUAAAAAGAUACCCUACUGUAAGGGAUGAUCUACACUGGCUUUUACAUUUCAUUAGUUACAGUAAAGGGACUUCAGGAUUUAGGGGAUAUUCGGUUAAACUGGAUAUUUUUACAUUUGGCAAAAAUUAAUCCCACAUUUUCCACUUUGCUGUCGCAUGUCUCGUGCAGCUAAACCCCACGUGCAUACAAGGCUGCAGCGCGCGACUCUAAUGUGCUGCUGUGCCUUUAAAGACGGCUCUGCUUUCUCUCCUCGUUUCUAUGCAAUUAUGUUAAUAUGCAGAGCUUGUCUGGUGCUCUUCAUUAACGGCUGCAGUUGCAUCAUUGUUUCCUUUAUUUGUCAUCUCUGUAAAGCCAAUGAUUCAGUAACAGGCUAUAUUUUGGUGUUUUCUUCCUUACAAAUAUGUGGUCUUUAAUAGUGAUGGAUGAAGUAGGCCGUAUGUAAAGCCGUUUUAUACAUAUUUGCGUUUAUUUGUGGGUUUUCUAUUGCAACAUAUGAUCCUAUCUCAAGGUCGUGAUUUGCAUCCGGUUUGUGUUGGACAUCGGUUUCUAAAUAGGCAGACAAGGUCCUACCUUCAUACAAAGCUGAAGGCAGCAGAGUCAGAACCUGACGACUACAGGGAGCCAGCUCAGAUCUGGGUCAUGCUGCCACCAGCACAAACCAGAAACAUACUGGAGCUUUUACACAUCUUCAUCUCCACCAAGGCUCCCAUGGAGGCAUAGAGAAACCUGAAGCCAAGAGGCACGGAGCUGCAUCCUAGCACCUGUCAUUCACACCCCGAUUGGUUCAUGUUCAUGUUCUGUUUUCAACCUCUCUCUCAUAUUCUCUCCUCUCAUCAUGCCUCUCUAUAUCUGCCAUUAGCUGUUACUCUACCAUAUAAUAUGCACAUGUACUGUAUACCUUACUUACCAUUUAGUAGACAGUUUGUGCUGUUCAUACUGCAGAGUUUGUGGGUGUAUCUCAGGCAGCCACUGCAGUGACAAGGGCACUGGAUCAACCUUUGACAAUAACAAAGACAUUUACAAAUACAAUCUAAUGCAAUAGUUCAAAAAAAAUAAAACUAAACGUAUCCAUUAAAACAAUAUGCUUGAAUUCUCAUCACUAACAUUCAGCAACAAUUAAUUUGAUCAUUGUCGGGUAAUAGAAUAGUCAUGCCAAGGGUUCUUCUACAACAGGCAAAGGACACGUUUAUAUGGAUUAGGCCUAGAGAAGAAUAGAGUGGUGAGAUAGGUGUGGUUGAAUUAGAUAAUGUCUCCAUUCUUCUUUGUUGGGACUUGUAUGGAUCAGAGCCUGCAUUACAGUUAUUGAUGAGGAGAUUCAGAUAGGCAGGUUGGAGGAGGUCGACACAAGGCUUUUGUUUUGAGGAUAGUAGAGGUACAAUCAGAAUGCAGUUAGUGAAUAAAGGUGAAGUAACAAUAAAUAAUAAUAGAUGGAUAUUUUAAGCAUAAAUUGAGAUUGAUCAGAAUACGAAAUGUUCAAAUCAAGUGAGUUAAUAGUAGUAGUCAACAACUAGCCUACUCUCAGUAUUAAAAGACCUGAGGAGGAUAUCGGCCUACACUUGGAUAAUGUAAAGCUCACAAUAGACAUCAAGAGGACGCAGUUUUGGUUAAGGACGAUAUUAUCAGAGUAGCGACUGGUAGGCCCUAUGUCACUGGGUUGACCAGUGGAAAUUCUAAAUUGUCUGGUGACACACUAGAAUGGAGAGAUCCGGCCAGUCGUGGGAAAAGCUCGCUCGGACGUUUCACAAAUCCAGCGUAUAGCCAGCCUCCUUUACUGAAUCAAACCAAUUAGCCAGGAGCGCGCUCCAGCCAUUGAGCGCCACUGUAGGUUCUGAGAGGAGUUGUUGGUUGAAUGAAAAUGCAUCCCCGGAUUUGGUUCUCCAAGAGAAGCUAUAGAAGUUGCCUUUUGAGGGAUAGCUAUAGCACCGUGAAGGGCCAGGCAGAAAGUCCAAAUUGAGACACUUGAAUAAUUUGUGCCGAUUAGGUGUGCGCACAAUGCGUAAAGGUAUUGUGAGACUCACAUGGGAGGUAUAAUGCAUUUAAAUCUAGAAAAACCAUGAAUAUCUUAAGUGUUCUUCCUUUCUAGACAACACAACUCUAUGUGAGAACACAACUGAAAGUAUGCGUUUAUGUAAUGACAUGGAUCGCUUGACUUAAUAUCGACUGAAAUAUCGACUGACAUAGCUCAUCUUAAUCAGGACCGUCUUUUUUAUAGGCGUUGGCCUAUAGUAUGCCUAAAUACGUCAUAAAGGCUAAUAUCGGCCAUAUUCUGGGAAAUCAAAACGUUUCCACCUGAGACAAGAAUGAUAUCAAUAUGAGUCACAAAUCUUAAUCCAUCUGAUUAAACCUUAAUUCAAUAUGUGUUUGCGUGUGCGUAAACCUGAUUUAUGCAGUGAGAACUAUAAGGAAUACUGGUCAACUACGGAUACUUUGAUGCGACAAAGCUUUAUUCAUAUUCAUGCCCGAAUAUCAAUUGUUACAGUUCACUCAUAUGACUGGAUAAAGUUAUCUAUUCCUCUGACCGGAAUAAAGGCUUUUUAUUAAGUAUUUUUCCUUUUAGAAUAUGUUUUCGGCAAAAUCACUCUAGAUGCCUUGCGUGAUGGAAUAAAUAAAUGUAUAAAGAGUAUUCUUGCUCUAAGCAUACUAAACAAAAGUGGGACAAAUAUACACUUCAAUUCACAACAUGAUUUUGAAUCCAUUGUGGAAAAUGUUGAUUUAUCAUUUAAAGGCAUGCUAUAAAGAUUACCCUACUUAUAUUUAGAGAAUAUAUUCUCUAAAUGAAAUAAGAAAAAGCAUUCAUUUCGGGUUGUAUCAGGUUUUGAGGAAUUCAGAAGUGUUUCAACAGAUGUUUAUAAUAAAUGAUUAGGGAAAAUUGUUAUAACUUACCGGAAAGGCAAUGAGGUAUUGGCCUGUAAUUGCAUAUCAAUUAUGUUAUUUUGUGUCUUUACUCCUAGACACCAUUUAUUCCUGUCCGAGUCGCAGGUUUGGAGGACAUUCCUACAUUCGGUUAGCUAGCUUUAUGACGGCCGAGUAACACUCAUACAGCUAGAUAACCAAAGAUAGCAACCGACUCCUCCUCGUACAUACUGCCAGAGUAUCGUAUGGGUUCCACCUAACAUGAAAAAUAAACAUUUUGUUAAUGCAAUAACUAGCCUAAUAUUGAUAUUGCUACUACCAAUUUGUAUCCAUAAAUCUGCCCCCUUCCCAAAAUAAGAUAAUAAUAAUAACAAAUAGGCCUACAUCAAUAGACAUCAAUAUAAAUAUAUCCUAUUAUUAGUUGAUGUGCAGGCCAUGGGGUCGAUGAAUAAGACUCUGUGAAAGGUUUUAAUCUGUCUCCAUCUCUAACUACUCUCGCUGAUAUAGACCCAUGCAUGAUGACAUCGCUAGCAUAUAGGCCUACAGGGCUACAAGCCUGGCCUGGACGUGCAACCAGCUUCCCGCCUUUUGUGAAAGAUCCUUCUAUUCUGCAUAACUUAAAUCAUCGUCAUAUUAAAUCCUAAAUCACUUUAGAGUAAAUCGAUCAAUAGACUCUCAACCAGUGGAGGACUUGGCUAACAUUGAAAUGUUCUAUUUACAGACCUAUAGCUCUGCUCCCAUACAACAUCACCAUCUUCACCACUUAACAUUCCACUCCCACUACAUAUCUUGUGACAAUAAUGAGGAUCAAUUAAUGUAAAAACAUAUCACAGGCGAUUUAAUUGCAUCGAUUGACAUCGUAUUUGCAGGCAGUAUAUUAUAGGCUUAGUGACUUUUCCAGAAAAAUAGCCUGUGUCUAUUAUGGUAAGGACUGCAUGGCACUAUGUGAUCACUAUAAUGAAAUUAUUUGUAUUAUUAUUAAUGUCAUAUUAUUAUUGGAAUCCUUAGUCUAUAGGCUAUUUAUAUCUGGAUAUAUUUUAGUUUCUUUCCCCUCCUGGAAAAAUGUAUCUAUUUCAAAAGAUCAUAGAGGACACCCACAAUAACACACAUGUAGGCUCUUCAUUCACUAAUUCAUUAAUUUCUCACAAGAGAGUGCAAAAAAAAACUAGCUAAAUCAUGUCAUCAAGAUGAAAGCGUGUAGGCCUGUAGACCAUCAUUAUUUUACCGGCUUUAGUAUUGUAGCUAGUCUAUCUAUAAUGAGCCUUCUGCACAUGUUUAAAGACAGACUAACCUCGUGAUGAACCCACGUCUCCCUUUAUCAGUGCGUCUGACGUCAUAGCUUUUAAUUGAAAAAGUCACGAAUAAUAGUGUGCUUGUAAGCCAUUUCCAAAUCAUUAUGAUUUAACACAUCAAUAAUUUAACACAACGCAAUGUUAUUUGUUAUUAAUAUAAUGUAACAAUGAAAAGAUUUACAGAAAUGUAUACCACUGUAUUGCUAUUUUAGAGAAUAGCCAAAAUAAUUGCAUAUUCUAUGUACAUUUCUUUGUAUGUGAAAAGGUGUGGGUGACAUUACACAUCCUAAUGUAUGGAUGAGGAUAUUCCUACAAAGCAGUUAGGUUACCGGGCUAUAGGCUACAUUUGAAACUGCUCAAUUUCAUCACACCGACUAUCUUACUAAAUGAAUGUAGAACAUAAUAUAACCAAUAUACCAUAUAAAUUAAACCCCUAGCAGUAUCUGCACGACCAAAAGAACUGCGUUUAUUUCACAAAUAGGCCUAUACAUGUCAUAGAGGCUAUACAGGGCGAUGUAGAUCUAUCCGCUCUUUCGACUAUAUAGGCCUGGGCUACAGUUGAUCAGAUCAAACGCAGGUGAAUUUGUCCCAUAAUUACACAACUUUAUGUAGACUAGAUCAAUUCAAACUCCUUAACACUGUAUAUAUAUAUAAUAGAUGGUCAGAAUUGAUGGCUGCGAUAUGAUUAACAAAGAUGAGUGUCUGCAGCUAGCGGUAUGUUAUUAAGCCUGGAAUAAACUCACAUCGACGUCUAUUGAAUAAGGAAUCCUUACUUUUCAAUGCGAGGAAAUUUGUCCUGGUUCUUUUGCCAUCCAAUGGAGGGCUGCGUAUCCGCGUGGAAGUCAACAGUAAGGGUUCCGGUAAAGGAUGAGAAGCAUAUGGCUAGCAUAUAGAAUAGGUUUUACCGAGGAAAUGAAAUCAGAUUAUUUACCUAUGAAGAGAGGACAUGUGUCUGUACAGAAAACGAUAAAUGCUUCUCAUCCCAAAUUCGCCGUUCGAAGCAGGCGGAGGCAUACGGUUUCUAAAAGGCGCUGUCGAUGCUCAAACCUCUGUUUUGGAACGAUCCAUGUCGAAUUGGUGGUUUAUUUCCGAGGUUGUGAGAUCCCUUAACCAUUAUUUCACUUGUCUCUCGUGAAUGGCAUAAGAGAUGGUAUCUCUCUACGGAUUAUAAAUCAAAGCGCGGUCCUCCCGUGGCCCGUUAGUUUAUCCAUUGUAGCGCUCCUCCGUGCCGCGGUUGCUCUCACUACCCUGAGAGCAUAGAGUUUUUUCUCUAAAUGCUUCUUCCUCUGACAGUUCUCUUCUGCAGUGACGUCACUCCAGCAGCAAACGGCCGAGUGACCAAUCACAGACAGGCUAGAGGGGACGUGUGUGUGUGUGUGUGUGUGAGUGAGUGUGUGUGUGUGCGCGCGCGCGCGCGCGAGCGGGUGUGUGUCUGGUACAAGAGUGAGUAUGCACGUGUGAGUUAAGCAUGCUUUGCGCGUAUGCCAUUAUGUGAGUAAGCGCUUUUUCUAUUCAUUUUUAGGCUAUAGGCUACUUGAGAUAAUAUUACCGCCUGGUUAUUACACUAUAUAAGAAAAAUAUCGAAAGAUUACCCCAAAUUUAGGGCAACGGGUAGGCUACAAUUUGUUUGCAUGGGCUUUAAGUACGUUUGGUGACUUUUACGCAGGUUUAUACCUCUCUCUCUGUGUGUGUGUGUGUGUGUGUGUGUGUGUGUGUGUGUGCUUUAUGCAAAAUUAGGUAACAGAAAUUGCUAAACACCUCUUACCCAAACCAUUUAGCCCUUAAAAACACCUUAUAGAAGCAAGCAUUAUGACAAUGUUAUUACAACAGUAUUACAUGUGUUUAUUAGAUGCAUUUCCCCCCAUUAACUCUAUAUGAAUGUUAUUGGAUGACGACAUACUGAGCUAGGCCUAGUAUUGCACAAUCCACCUUCGGGUUUUGGUGUGGCAGAUUUAAAUUAAGCUAAUUCGGAUGAAAUAUGGUGCUAGAAUAGGCCUAUCACCGAAGGAGAGAGAGAGGGAAUCUAUUGAAACUGGAUUUUGCCUUGUAGUUCUGUACUUUGAUACUAUUGGUGCUCAGUCUAAGAUGUGCUCUGUGGUAGAUGUGCUCAGUAAAGAUGCUGUGUAGCUUUUCAUAAUACAUUAACAAUACGUCUGUUAAUGUAAUUUCUAUGUCUUUAUCAUAUUUAUUUGGCUAUAUUAUCCUAGUUUUUUAUUAUGGCAUUUUUUUUCUCCCACCGUUUUAGCAAACUGUCCAGGUGGGCUAUGGGUUAGUGCGUGCUAUGUGAUGAGACGUAAUCAAUGCAGCUUGCUAUAUCUUCAUUUAUCAGCUGAGUUAUUUAGACCUGCAGUUUACACUUUUAGCAUGAGCAUUUUCUUCUCGCUAAUCCCCCUUUUUACCUUCAGUGCUUGGCACUCUCCAUGUUUCAUGUUUGAAAGCAGAUAUUCUACACCACAAAGAUCCAGUCCAGCAGUGUAUGUAGGCUACUUUAAUCCAAUAGGCAAUGACAAUAGAUCCAGUCCAGCAGUGUAUGUAGGCUACUUUAAUCCAAUAGGCAAUGAGAAUAGAUCCAGUCCAGCAGUGUAUGUAGCCAAUAGGCAAUGAGAAUAGAGAAAAUACAAAUACUUUAUGGAAGGUAAACGAUUUUUUAUGCUUCAUGAAAUGUCGUGAUCUAAUUUCUCUAAACUAUCAAACCGAUUGAAGUUUCGAUUAAGUUUGCAAUAUCACAACCAACAAAUACAUUUUAAAGUAACUCAAAAAGCUAUUUGGACUAUGUUUGUGGGUAUACAAUUUUCCCCAGGCUUGGAAGACGAAAUUCGUGAACUUAUCUCUGAUCUCCUCUCUCCGUUUGGCCCCAGUCGGACAGGGAAGUAGAGAAAAUAAUAUGCAGAUAUACUGUAAAAAGUGUACUUUUUUAAAUGUACCAUUUAUGUACCAUGUAUGUACCAUUUUGGAUGGUGGACCAAACAAAGCUACGGCAUGAUUAUACAGCUCUCAGUGAUGGAGCACCUUGUAAGAAAAGUAUCCUGAUCAUCAUGUUUUAAAUAGAAAUACAUUUAUUUACGAGACAAUGGAAAUACGGCAUAAACAGAUAAACACAGGUAUCUUUUGGUUAUCACUACGGCAACAGCUUCCAGGAACGACACAAUAUUUACAUCUUACAGUUAUUUAGAAAAUAAGCAAAAGGAAUAAAACAACAAUAUGUACAUAACAACUGCCAAGUGGUACAGUAUUUGGAAUUUCAGUACAGUACGUUCUUUUUUAAAGGCUCCUUGCGGUAGGUAUAUUAACUGGACAGCCUUGACUGUGCCCUUUGUCUAAUGCAAAAAAACAAAAAUGUUACUGAAGGCAUUGUAGUUUUUAUUUUUGGUAAAAUCAUAUGGUUACACUAGUGUGAAGCAGAUUGUCUUUACUUGGCUAUUUACUCAAUUAGAUCACACACACACACACACACACACAUACACACACACACACACACACACACACAGACACACACACACUUUAUCUCACACACAUAUGGAAUUUCGAAUGGGUGAAAUGCAUGUCUAUUAGCCCAUGUGUGUAUCAUAUUCAUUAAUCGAUCAUAGACUAAUGUCAUGGACUAUUGUCACGAGGGAUUUUGAGGGCUUGAUGGCUCAGGCAGUGACAGAACACGUCACUAACGCGGAGAGAGCAGGUCAGUUCUUGACCUCUAAACCCUGGGUUUUGUUAUAACAAAGUGGUGCUUUCCUUGAGAGUCCGGUCUCUCCAUGUAGAGAGGGUCAGUUAAGGUUAGAUUAAGUGCUCGUGUCUAUAUAGACUGAUGUAUUACUAGCUUGUUAACCAAUUGUGCGAGCCAUUGUCAGAUAAACGAUUUUACAAUGCAUUAUCUAAAUAAAAUAUAUGAAGUGAUGUUACCCAGGUCAGCCUAAAAAUCCAAAGCCUAUAUUCACACAUACAUUAACCUGCUGGAUCUCCAGAUCAAAUUGUUGAAAUAUGUCCCAAAUAGUAGGUUUUUCAAUCCGUAAAUCGAUGACAUCGAACAAUACUGAGGUGCGUAUAGGCUUUGACCGUGGGCUAUUUUAAUCUUAAUUUUAUGUCACUGACCCAUGGAUUGACCGUAAUCUGAUAAAAGAGGAUAGGGCCUAUAAGAAAUCCAUGAAUUGGUUUGAACAAUGGUCCAACUGACUUGGGUUAUACCGACAUCUAGCGCUCAGUUGAUGUUUUUUAUUCCUCGUGUUAUCAUACUGUAAAGUCAAUGGGAUAUGCUCUAGGCAUAACCUCUAUAAUGUUUGUAAUCGAAAAAUGCAACAUAUACGUUUAAUUGGGCAAUUAAGAUAAUUUUGUAAAUAUUAGGCCUAUUUAAAUUUGUUUCAGCAUUGUAAUAUAGGAUUGCGAAUUGUUUGUGUCAGAUGCUUUGUAAUAUAUCAGAAAUGAUAGUAGUAAAUCAACAAAAUUAUGGUCGAGACACAAAAAUCCUAAUCUUUAAUAGAUCGUUUAUAUUUUAUAUUUCUCCCCCAAUGCAUAUUCUCAUAUUCUAAAAAAGUUUACAAACUACAAUCGAUAUUCUAUAAGAUAUUUUUUCUAAUAUGCCAAUAUAAUACACACUAAACCUAGGAAUUAGAUUCACUGCACAAACAGUCCUUGUUUUCUUAGAAGUCAAAUGCAAUAUUUUCAAUGUUUGGUGCAGACAAGACCGUAAAAUGAUUUGUAUAGUCCUAAAGUAGCUUUGUUGUUGCAGUUGGUUAACAAAUUAAUGAAAGUGAACUAUACAUUUCAACACUGUUCAAUAUGUAACUUUAGAAUUAAAGUUGUGUUCUAACAAAUGGCAGUGCACAGUUUCAGAGAUCUAGAAUUAUUGAGAUUUUUAACAUGAUUAUUAAAUUAUAAUAACAUGUUUAAUGUGUUUAAAUUUGUUUGGAUUAUUACAUGUCUCCUUAUAAUAAACAAUUAUAUGUUGACA